CGGAAAAUAAAGAUCUUUUCUACCCGCCGCCUAAGAAGGGGGACGGGAUUCGGCGCUGUUUUCUUAGAAAAUAACAUUUAUUUCUAACUCAUAUCUAUGCAAAGGAAAGCACAAAGUGAGCGGUUGUCUGCAGCAGUGUUUCUCGAGGCAGACCUUCGGCCAGGGCGCUUGGCGAGUCCUGGGAGGAGAGGGCGCCCGCGCCGGCGCUUCUGUCUGGGCCGCGGUCGCUGUGUUCCUGCUAGGGGCGCACGGGGCGGCUCCUGAGGGAGAGGCCGGCCGCAGGCGGGAAGGGCAGUGGGCAGGAUUCGUCCCGAGUUUGCAGUAUAUUUAAUCCAUAAAACCUGGUAAGGACAAUGUGCGCAUAGUCUAAUUUUUUCCAUAUUUGUCCUUUUUAUGCUUGUUUUUGAAUGUUUUUCACGUUAAUACCGAGGUCACCUACAGAUUACAAUUAAUAACUUAGAAUUCCAUUUUAUAACAUUAUACACUGGCUUGUAUAUAUAUAUGUAUAGAUUAUAUAUAGAUUUAUACAUAUAUAAAAACUCACACUGCACCAAGGAAACCCAUGCUUAUCGGCAUAAGCAACAAAGAGCGACAAAUACCGCAACGAGGAAAGUGCACCUUAGAACUUCCUUUUUUUUUUUACAACUGAAAUCGAUAUAUAUAUGUGUGUCCCAAAGACUCAACUCAGUGCCAAGAGAUGUAUAUAUCCUAAAUUUAUACUUGUUAGAAUAUUUUUUUAAAAAAAAAUUAAAAGAGAAGGCCUGGGGAGACAUAGAAGAGACUGUCGGAUUAUCCUGCCAUCCUUCUGAGAGUGGAGAGGGUGGCCGGCCAGCGAGGCGAGCGCAGCUAAAGGAGCAGCGGGGCGAGGCCACCGCCCAGAAUUCUCAGGAAUCCUUGGCCUUUUCAAAAAGCGACUGUGCGAGCCUGGAGGAGGCGUCUGGAGAGGGCUGAGGCUCCCGCGAGAGCACCUGCGCCUGUAGCUGCUCCCCUUUGCCAGCCCUCGCGCCCCCCCAAAAACCUGCAGACUUCGGGGAGCAGGAAGCCCCAGCCCAGCCAGAGAGC
rnacentral:lncRNA from 1 species